UACGUAGGGGGCAAGCAUUAAUCGGAAUUAUUGGGCGUAAAGGGCGCGUAGGCGGAGAUGUAAGUCAGAUGUGAAAUCCCGGGGCUCAACCCCGGAACAGCAUUUGAAACUGCGUUUCUAGAGGGUAGGCGGAGAAAACGGAAUUCCACAAGUAGCGGUGAAAUGCGUAGAUAUGUGGAAGAACACCAGUGGCGAAGGCGGUUUUCUAGCUUAUACCUGACGCUAAAGCGCGAAAGCAAGGGGAGCGAACCGG
rnacentral:rRNA from 1 species